ACGGGGUGCAGCAGGCGCGAAAACUUUGCAAUAAGCGAAAGCUUGACAGGGCUAUCCCGAGUGCCAUCCGCUGAGGAAGGCUUUUACCCAGUCUAGUAAGCUGGGGGAAUAAGGAGAGGGCAAGUCUGGUGUCAGCCGCCGCGGUAAUACCAGCUCUCCGAGUGGUGUGGAUGUUUAUUGGGCCUAAAGCAUCCGUAGCUGGCUGAGUUAGUCCCCUGUUAAAUCCACCGAAUCAAUCGUUGGAUUGCGGGGGAUACUGCUCGGCUAGGGGACGGGAGAGGCAGACGGUAUUUUCGGGGUAGGGGUGAAAUCCUAUAAUCCCGGGAAGACCACCAGUGGCGAAGGCUGUCUGCUAGAACGCGCCCGACGGUGAGGGAUGAAAGCUGGGGUAGCGAACCGGAUUAGAUACCCGGGUAGUCCCAGCCGUAAACGAUGCAGGCUAGGUGUUUGGGCGGCCACGUGCCGCUCUAGUGCCGCAGGGAAGCUGUUAAGCCUGCCGCCUGGGGAGUACGAUCGCAAGAUUGAAACUUAAAGGAAUUGGCGGGGGAGCAC
rnacentral:rRNA from 1 species